GACGAACGCUGGCGGCGUGCUUAACACAUGCAAGUCGAACGGAAAGGCCCUGCUUUUGUGGGGUGCUCGAGUGGCGAACGGGUGAGUAACACGUGAGUAACCUGCCCUUGACUUUGGGAUAACUUCAGGAAACUGGGGCUAAUACCGGAUAGGAGCUCCUGUUGCAUGGUGGGGGUUGGAAAGUUUCGGCGGUUGGGGAUGGACUCGCGGCUUAUCAGCUUGUUGGUGGGGUAGUGGCUUACCAAGGCUUUGACGGGUAGCCGGCCUGAGAGGGUGACCGGCCACAUUGGGACUGAGAUACGGCCCAGACUCCUACGGGAGGCAGCAGUGGGGAAUAUUGCACAAUGGGCGGAAGCCUGAUGCAGAAACGCCGCGUGCGGGAUGCCGGCCUUCGGGUUGUAAACCGCUUUCGCCUGUGACGAAGCGUGAGUGACGGUAAUGGGUAAAGAAGCACCGGCUAACUACGUG
rnacentral:rRNA from 1 species